rfam:Triticum urartu cultivar G1812 contig325239, whole genome shotgun sequence.
GCACUGAAAGUGAGAGUUGGAGGAAAACAAACAGAUGGCCAACUAUUUGUGGUCACCGAUCAGCUUGUUUUCCUCCAAUAUCUCACCUUCGGUUG